rnacentral:tRNA from 2 species
UGCGGGGUGGAGCAGUCUGGUAGCUCGUCGGGCUCAUAACCCGAAGGUCGUGGGUUCAAAUCCUGCCCCCGCUA